rnacentral:rRNA from 1 species
AUUGAACGCUGGCGGCAUGCCUUACACAUGCAAGUCGAACGGUAACGGGUCUUAGGAUGCUGACGAGUGGCGAACGGGUGAGUAAUACAUCGGAACGUGCCUGGUAGUGGGGGAUAACUACUCGAAAGAGUGGCUAAUACCGCAUGAGAUCUACGGAUGAAAGCAGGGGAUCGCAAGACCUUGUGCUACUAGAGCGGCCGAUGGCAGAUUAGGUAGUUGGUGGGAUAAAAGCUUACCAAGCCGACGAUCUGUAGCUGGUCUGAGAGGACGAUCAGCCACACUGGGACUGAGACACGGCCCAGACUCCUACGGGAGGCAGCAGUGGGGAAUUUUGGACAAUGGGCGAAAGCCUGAUCCAGCAAUGCCGCGUGCAGGAUGAAGGCCUUCGGGUUGUAAACUGCUUUUGUACGGAACGAAAAGCCCCGGGUUAAUACCCUGGGGUCAUGACGGUACCGUAAGAAUAAGCACCGGCUAACUACGUGCCAGCCGCCGCAGUAA